UCCAGGGUAGCCUAGUGGACAUGGCAUCUGCCCUGUAAACGGAACACUGUGGGUUCUAUUCCAAUCCCUGGAU
rnacentral:tRNA from 1 species